GGGCGUUUAGCUCAGUGGUAGAGCGCCUGCCUUACAAGCAGGAUGUCACUGGUUCGAAUCCAGUAUCGCCCA
rnacentral:tRNA from 1 species